AGUGAACGCUGGCGGUAGGCCUAACACAUGCAAGUCGAACGGCAGCACAGUAAGAGCUUGCUCUUACGGGUGGCGAGUGGCGGACGGGUGAGGAAUACAUCGGAAUCUACUUUUUCGUGGGGGAUAACGUAGGGAAACUUACGCUAAUACCGCAUACGACCUACGGGUGAAAGCAGGGGAUCUUCGGACCUUGCGCGAUUGAAUGGGCCGAUGUCGGAUUAGCUAGUUGGCGGGGUAAAGGCCCACCAAGGCGACGAUCCGUAGCUGGCCUGAGAGGAUGAUCAGCCACACUGGAACUGAGACACGGUCCAGACUCCUACGGGAGGCAGCAGUGGGGAAUAUUGGACAAUGGGCGCAAGCCUGAUCCAGCCAUACCGCGUGGGUGAAGAAGGCCUUCGGGUUGUAAAGCCCUUUUGUUGGGAAAGAAAAGCAGCAGGUUAAUACCCCGCUGUUCUGACGGUACCCAAAGAAUAAGCACCGGCUAACUUCGUG
rnacentral:rRNA from 1 species